rnacentral:tRNA from 1 species
AGCCCCGUCGUCUAGUGGCUAAGGAUGCAGGCCUUUGAAGCCUGAGACCGGAGUUCGAAUCUCCACGGGGCUA